rnacentral:rRNA from 1 species
UACGUAGGCAGCGAGCGUUGUUCGGAGUUACUGGGCGUAAAGGGUGUGUAGGCGGUUGUUUAAGUUUGGUGUGAAAUCUCCCGGCUCAACUGGGAGGGUGCGCCGAAUACUGAAUGACUUCGAGGACGGGAGAGGAUGGUGGAAUUCCCAGUGUAGAGGUGAAAUUCGUAGAUAUUGGGAAGAACACCGGUGGCGAAGGCGGCCAUCUGGACCGUAUCUGACGCUGAGGCGCGAAAGCGUGGGGAGCAAACAGG